GAGCUGAGUGCGGGAGGGUGCAGCUGUGACGGUGUUCACCCCUCAGUUGGCCGAAGAAGGAAUCUUAGGGAAGUCAUGACAGUACCAAUGGAGGAGUGCUUAAUACUUUUUUGACUUUGAUGAUGAAGAAGAUGAUACAAAUGUUUUGGAGAAAGCUCUUUCUGAAGAAAAGAGCGCAGCAUGUGACAAGGAUGAGAAUAAGUAACCUCCUAUAGAAGCAGAUGAAGAUAUGGGAGUGUCUUCAAACAACAACAAAUGGUACUAAUACAGCAGAAAAUUAAACAGAACCAGAGAAUGACAUUAAUCAUGCAGAUGGUUAUCCAGUACACACAGAUUUUGAAGAACGUGCAGGAUAAAAGUGCUUCAUGCCUUGAAUUGAAAAGGGAAAUUGCUGAGUAUCAAAAGAAAAAAUGAUAAAACUCAGCAGCUCGAGAUUGCAAACAUUCGAAAGUCUCUUCUAUCCAUACUAUUCUGAGGAGUCCUUGAAGAACAAACACUUCAACUUGUUUGCUGCAAUAGAAUUCUAAUGUUCUCUAAAAACAGUU
ensembl:lncRNA